UACGAGGGGGGCAAGCGUUGUUCGGAAUUAUUGGGCGUAAAGGGCGCGUAGGCGGUGCGGUAAGUCACCUGUGAAAUCUCUGGGCUCAACUCAGAGUCUGCAGGCGAAACUGCCGUGCUGGAGUAUGGGAGAGGUGCGCGGAAUUCCCGGUGUAGCGGUGAAAUGCGCAGAUAUCAGGAGGAACACCAAUGGCGAAGGCAGCACUCUGGGACGUGACUGACGCUGAGACGCGAAAGCGUGGGGAGCAAACAGG
rnacentral:rRNA from 1 species